rnacentral:rRNA from 1 species
UGGUGGGUGUUGGAAAGAAUUUCGGUCAUGGAUGGACUCGCGGCCUAUCAGCUUGUUGGUGAGGUAAUGGCUCACCAAGGCGACGACGGGUAGCCGGCCUGAGAGGGUGACCGGCCACACUGGGACUGAGACACGGCCCAGACUCCUACGGGAGGCAGCAGUGGGGAAUAUUGCACAAUGGGCGAAAGCCUGAUGCAGCGACGCCGCGUGAGGGAUGACGGCCUUCGGGUUGUAAACCUCUUUCAGUAGGGAAGAAGCGAAAGUGACGGUACCUGCAGAAGAAGCACCGGCUAACUACGUGCCAGCAGCCGCGGUAAUACGUAGGGUGCGAGCGUUAUCCGGAAUUAUUGGGCGUAAAGAGCUCGUAGGCGGUUUGUCGCGUCUGUCGUGAAAGUCCGGGGCUUAACCCCGGAUCUGCGGUGGGUACGGGCAGACUAGAGUGCAGUAGGGGAGACUGGAAUUCCUGGUGUAGCGGUGGAAUGCGCAGAUAUCAGGAGGAACACCGAUGG